rnacentral:rRNA from 1 species
GGAGUUAGCCGGUGCUUCUUCUGUGAGUGAUGUCCUUCCUGCCGGUUAUUGACCCGCAGGCCUUCUUCCUCACUGAAAGUGCUUUACAACCCGAAGGCCUUCUUCACACACGCGGCAUGGCUGGAUCAGGGUUGCCCCCAUUGUCCAAUAUUCCCCACUGCUGCCUCCCGUAGGAGUCUGGGCCGUGUCUCAGUCCCAGUGUGGCUGAUCAUCCUCUCAGACCAGCUACGGAUCGUCGCCUUGGUGAGCCGUUACCUCACCAACCAGCUAAUCCGACAUAGGCUCAUCCGAUAGCGCGAGGCCCGAAGGUCCCCCGCUUUCCCCCGUAGGGCGUAUGCGGUAUUAGCCUGGGUUUCCCCAGGUUAUCCCCCACUACCGGGCAGAUUCCUAUGCAUUACUCACCCGUCCGCCGCUCGCCACCAGGGAGCAAGCUCCCCGUGCUGCCGCUCGACUUGCAUGUGUAGCUCGCGCAGCGUCAUCUGAGCGAGANACAACUACUGA